UCCCCGUUUUCCGGGGCAGUCCCUGUAGAGUUCCCGGCAUGACCCGCUGGCAACUACAGGCAAGGGUUGCGCUCGUUGCGGGACUUAACCCAACAUCUCACGACACGAGCUGACGACAGCCAUGCAGCACCUCUACCGAUGUCCCUUGCGGGAGGGCCCCAUCUCUGGGAAUUUCAUCGGCGGUUCAAACCCAGGUAAGGUUCUUCGCGUUGCGUCGAAUUGAACCACAUGCUCCACCGCUUGUGCGGGCCCCCGUCAAUUCCUUUAUGUUUUAAGCUUGCGCUCGUACUCCACAGGCGGGAUGCUUAACGCGUUAGCUUCGCUACUACCAGGGUCGAUACUGAUAACAGCUAGCAUCCAUAGUUUACGGCGUGGACUAC
rnacentral:misc_RNA from 1 species